GACGAACGCUGGCGGCGUGCCUAAUACAUGCAAGUAGAACGCUGAAGAGAGGAGCUUGCUCUUCUUGGAUGAGUUGCGAACGGGUGAGUAACGCGUAGGUAACCUGCCUGGUAGCGGGGGAUAACUAUUGGAAACGAUAGCUAAUACCGCAUAAAAUGGAUUAUCGCAUGAUAAUGCAUUGAAAGGUGCAAAUGCAUCACUACCAGAUGGACCUGCGUUGUAUUAGCUAGUUGGUGGGGUAACGGCUCACCAAGGCGACGAUACAUAGCCGACCUGAGAGGGUGAUCGGCCACACUGGGACUGAGACACGGCCCAGACUCCUACGGGAGGCAGCAGUAGGGAAUCUUCGGCAAUGGACGGAAGUCUGACCGAGCAACGCCGCGUGAGUGAAGAAGGUUUUCGGAUCGUAAAGCUCUGUUGUAAGAGAAGAACGAGUGUGAGAGUGGAAAGUUCACACUGUGACGGUAUCUUACCAGAAAGGGACGGCUAACUACGUGCCAGCAGCCGCGGUAAUACGUAGGUCCCGAGCGUUGUCCGGAUUUAUUGGGCGUAAAGCGAGCGCAGGCGGUUAGAUAAGUCUGAAGUUAAAGGCUGUGGCUUAACCAUAGUACGCUUUGGAAACUGUUUAACUUGAGUGUAAGAGGGGAGAGUGGAAUUCCAUGUGUAGCGGUGAAAUGCGUAGAUAUAUGGAGGAACACCGGUGGCGAAAGCGGCUCUCUGGCUUGUAACUGACGCUGAGGCUCGAAAGCGUGGGGAGCAAACAGG
rnacentral:rRNA from 1 species